UACGAAGGGACCUAGCGUAGUUCGGAAUUACUGGGCUUAAAGAGUUCGUAGGUGGUUAAAAUAGUUGGUGGUGAAAUCCCAGAGCUUAACUCUGGAACUGCCAUCAAAACUUUUUAGCUAGAGUAUGAUAGAGGAAAGCAGAAUUUCUAGUGUAGAGGUGAAAUUCGUAGAUAUUAGAAAGAAUACCAAUUGCGAAGGCAGCUUUCUGGAUCAUUACUGACACUGAGGAACGAAAGCAUGGGUAGCGAAGAGG
rnacentral:rRNA from 1 species